rnacentral:rRNA from 1 species
AUGGCAGAUGCAGUUGCUGAUCCGGUCGCCCUGCUAAUCGUGCCUUGCCCGGAUUGCGGCAGGAACGUCGUGACCUAUGUAGCUCGUCACUGCCAGAACGGCGUCGAGCGUUUCUACAAGUGCCGCAGUCACAUCCCAGCACGUGGUGGAUGCGACUUCUAUAGGUGUCCGCAAGCUUACACCGAGUCGCUUGCUGCUGCAGCAACUCCGUUGGCGCAAAUCAUGCUUGGACAGGAGCAAGCUGCCCAAGCGUUAGGAGUUGAAGUUCCGGGCCAGCAGAACGGACCGCCGGAGGGCACGCAGUCCACAUCUUCUGCCAGCGCCGUCGCAGGAUACAUGGUUGCCGCAUCUGUUUGUACGUGA